rnacentral:misc_RNA from 1 species
UGUGGGAGCGAGCUUGCUCGCGAUAGCGUUGGGUCAGUCGACAUAAAUGUUGAAUGUGAUGCCGUAAUCGCGAGCAAGCUCGCUCCCACA